UAACGCGUGGGUAACCUGCCCUAUACACAUGGAUAACAUACUGAAAAGUUUACUAAUACAUGAUAAUAUAUAUUUACGGCAUCGUAGAUAUAUCAAAGUGUUAGCGGUAUAGGAUGGACCCGCGUCUGAUUAGCUAGUUGGUGAGAUAACUGCCCACCAAGGCGACGAUCGGUAGCCGGACUGAGAGGUUGAACGGCCACAUUGGGACUGAGACACGGCCCAG
rnacentral:rRNA from 1 species